GACGAACGCUGGCGGCGUGCUUAACACAUGCAAGUCGAACGGUGAAGCGCCUUCCUCUUUGGCGGGCGUGGAUGAGUGGCGAACGGGUGAGUAACACGUGAGUAACCUGCCCCCUUCUUCUGGAUAACCGAAUGAAAGUGUGGCUAAUACCGCAUAUUCUGGGUCUGUCGCAUGAUGGGUCUUGGAAAGAUUUUGCUUCGGUGUGGGAUGGGCUCGCGGCCUAUCGGUUUGUUGGUGGGGUGAUGGCCUACCAAGGCGGUGACGAGUAGCCGGCCGGGGAGGAUCGGCGGUAACAGAGGUAAUGAGACACGGAGCAGACUACGAGGGGAGGCAGCAGUGGAGAAUAGUGCACGAUGGGCGCAAGCCUGAUGCAGCGCCGCCGCGUGAGAGAUGGAGGCCUGCGGGUUGUGAACCUCUUUCGCCAGAGAAGCAGGCCUGCCUCGUUUGUGGGUGGGUUGACGGUAGCUGGAGAAGAAGCGCCGGCUAACUACGUG
rnacentral:rRNA from 1 species